CCUACGGGUGGCAGCAGUGAGGAAUAUUGGUCAAUGGACGAGAGUCUGAACCAGCCAAGUAGCGUGAAGGAUGACUGCCCUAUGGGUCGUAAACUUCUUUUAUAUGGGAAUAAAAUGUUCCACGCGUGGGCUUUUGUAUGUACCAUAUGAAUAAGGAUCGGCUAACUCCGUGCCAGCAGCCGCGGUAAUACGGAGGAUGCGAGCGUUAUCCGGAUUUAUUGGGUUUAAAGGGUGCGCAGGCGGCCUGUUAAGUCAGCGGUAAAAGCCCGGGGCUCAACCCCGGCGAGCCGUUGAAACUGGCGGGCUGGAGUUGGAGAGAAGUACGCGGAAGGCGCGGUGUAGCGGUGAAAUGCUUAGAUAUCGCGCAGAACCCCGAUUGCGAAGGCAGCGUGCCGGCUCCACACUGACGCUGAGGCACGAAAGCGUGGGUAUCGAACAGGAUUAGAUACCCGGGUAGUC
rnacentral:rRNA from 1 species